rnacentral:lncRNA from 1 species
CAAUACUCAGCAAUAUUUUUAGUUAGUCCGCAUCUUGCCACAGAAAUUGUUCUGGUCAGAGCGGCAGUUACAAAAUUCUGUUAUUUUGUUUCUUCCUAUUCUACUUGGCCUCUCUGUAUCAUCUGACACUGAGGAUCCCUUCCUUUAAUUUGAAAAUCUCUUCUUUCUUAAUGUCUUAAUUUACCUCUCUUGGCUUUCUCUCUGUUGCUAAGACCUUAGUUUU